rnacentral:rRNA from 1 species
UACGUAGGGUGCGAGCGUUGUCCGGAAUUAUUGGGCGUAAAGAGCUCGUAGGCGGUCUGUCGCGUCGAAUGUGAAAACCCGGGGCUCAACUCCGGGCUUGCAUUCGAUACGGGCAGGCUGGAGUUCGGUAGGGGAGACUGGAAUUCCUGGUGUAGCGGUGAAAUGCGCAGAUAUCAGGAGGAACACCGAUGGCGAAGGCAGGGUCUCUGGGCAUUAACUGACGCUGAGGAGCGAAAGCAUGGGGAGCGAACAGG